rnacentral:rRNA from 1 species
GGGUUGUGAGGUUAAGCGAAUAAGCGUACACGGUGGAUGCCUAGGCAAUCAGAGGCGAUGAAGGACGUGCUAAUCUGCGAAAAGCGUCGGUAAGGUGAUAUGAACCGUUAUACCCGACGAUAUCCGAAUGGGGAAACCCAGUAUCCAAUGGAUACUAUCAUUAACUGAAUCCAUAGGUUAAUGAGGCGAACCGGGAGAACUGAAACAUCUCAGUACCCCGAGGAAAAGAAAUCAACCGAGAUUCCCCUAGUAGCGGCGAGCGAACGGGGAGCAGCCCAGAGUCUUAAUCAAUAACAGUGUCAGGAGAACGGUCUGGAAAGUCCGGCAGUAAAGGGUGAUAGCCCCGUAUCUGAAGAUGCUGUUAUUGUGAACUCGACGAGUAGGGCGGGACACGUGUUAUCCUGUCUGAAUAUGGGGGGACCAUCCUCCAAGGCUAAAUACUCCUGAUUGACCGAUAGUGAACCAGUACCGUGAGGGAAAGGCGAAAAGAACCCCGGCGAGGGGAGUGAAAAAGAACCUGAAACCGUGUACGUACAAGCAGUAGGAGCCUCUUUAUGGGGUGACUGCGUACCUUUUGUAUAAUGGGUCAGCGACUUAUAUUCUGUAGCAAGGUUAACCGUAUAGGGGAGCCGUAGGGAAACCGAGUCUUAACUGGGCGAAUGAGUUGCAGGGUAUAGACCC